UACGAAGGGGGCUAGCGUUGCUCGGAAUCACUGGGCGUAAAGCGCACGUAGGCGGAUCUUUAAGUCAGGGGUGAAAUCCCGGGGCUCAACCCCGGAACUGCCUUUGAUACUGGGUAUCUAGAGUCCAGAAGAGGUGAGUGGAAUUCCGAGUGUAGAGGUGAAAUUCGUAGAUAUUCGGAGGAACACCAGUGGCGAAGGCGGCUCACUGGUCUGGUACUGACGCUGAGGUGCGAAAGCGUGGGGAGCAAACAGG
rnacentral:rRNA from 1 species